rnacentral:rRNA from 1 species
GAGUUUGAUCCUGGCUCAGAAUCAACGCUGGCGGCAUGCCUAACACAUGCAAGUCGAACGAGAAAGUCCCGCAAGGGAUGAGUAAAGUGGCGCACUGGUGAGUAACACGUGACUAACCUACCUUCGAGUGGGGAAUAACCUCGGGAAACCGGGGCUAAUACCGCAUAAAAUCCACGGUAGCAAUACUUUGGAUCGAGCACGCAAGUGGCUUGAAGAGGGGGUCGCGGCUGAUUAGCUAGUUGGUGAGGUAAUGGCUCUCCAAGGCUUUGAUCAGUAUCCGGCCUGAGAGGGCGCACGGACACACUGGAACUGAAACACGGUCCAGACUCCUACGGGAGGCAGCAGUGGGGAGUUUUGCGCAAUGGGGGAAACCCUGACGCAGCAAUGCCGCGUGGAGGAUGAAGGUCUUUGGAUUGUAAACUCCUUUCGAUCGGGACGAUUAUGACGGUACCGGAAGAAGAAGCACCGGCUAACUCUGUGCCAGCAGCCGCGGUAAUACAGAGGGUGCAAGCGUUGUUCGGAAUUAUUGGGCGUAAAGGGCGCGUAGGCGGUGUGGUAAGUCUCUAGUGAAAUCUCCGGGCUCAACUCGGAGUCCGCUAGGGAAACUGCCAUGCUUGAGUGUGGGAGAGGUGAGUGGAAUUCCCG